rnacentral:rRNA from 1 species
CCUACGGGAGGCAGCAGUGAGGAAUAUUGGUCAAUGGACGAGAGUCUGAACCAGCCAAGUAGCGUGAAGGAUGACUGCCCUAUGGGUUGUAAACUUCUUUUAUAUGGGAAUAAAAUGUUCCACGUGUGGGAUUUUGUAUGUACCAUAUGAAUAAGGAACGGCUAACUCCGUGCCAGCAGCCGCGGUAAUACGGAGGAUCCGAGCGUUAUCCGGAUUUAUUGGGUUUAAAGGGAGCGUAGGUGGAUUGUUAAGUCAGUUGUGAAAGUUUGCGGCUCAACCGUAAAAUUGCAGUUGAAACUGGCAGUCUUGAGUACAGUAGAGGUGGGUGGAAGUCGUGGUGUAGCGGUGAAAUGCUUAGAUAUCACGAAGAACUCCGAUUGCGAAGGCAGUUCACUGGACUGCAACUGACACUGAGGCUCGAAAGUGUGGGUAUCAAACAGGAUUAGAUACCCUUGCAGUC